rnacentral:piRNA from 1 species
UCAGACGAUGUGGAGUUGGGUGCCUGAGC